ACUCUGGGGUCGACUGCAGAUAAAACGUAUUUUAGAAAGCUCUUAACUGAUAUUAUUGACAAAAUUAAAAGCUAGGUGUUUUUGUUACGUUUUCUUGGGUUUUGUUUUGUUGGUUGGUUUUGGAGAGUUCUGUCAUCAUCAGUGUGUUCAGGUUUUCAAUCUUGCUGCACUGUUUUUUCUCUCCAGACUCAUCUCCCACCUGUACCGCUGCAAAGAGUGCACACGAAAACAAUUAACGUACAGAUCUGAGGUAGAGGAACAUGCACAGAAAACAACAUAACCAACAAUUACUGCAGUCCAGUAAAGUAAGCCUAAACAGGUGUGCUUGGGAAUUUGGCCUUAGUCUAAGUCUCACAAAUGAGGACCAAGACCAUGCCCUAUCUACAAGGAGGGAAGGAAAAUUAGUUGUGCAAGAAGGACGUGCAGUUCACUUCAAGAGAUCUGCUGGCUUGCUUGGCACGCACAUACUUGAAAAAGGAUUUUUGGGAAAGAGAAGGUUUCAAGCAGCGCUGGACUCAUGCCAAGAGGAAAUGACUGUUGCAGAUGUCCUACAGAUGUUAGUGAGGCUGUGCCUGACGGGAUUGGUGUUAGGGAG